rnacentral:lncRNA from 1 species
GUGUCAGAAGUGAGGAUCCCAAGUAAGAGUCCUGUGACCCCCCCUGCCAGGAAUACCAGGCAACAAGGAGAAGUUUCUGAAGCCCAGGAACCAUCAAAAGUCUACAUAGGCACAAGUUAAUCAACUUUGCUAGCUUGGGGCCCAAAUAAAAAGAUCUGUGGGCCCCAGAUCUUUGCUCAUGGCCACAGGGCAUGGCAGUGCUCCUAAAAUUGUGGUUGAUGGUGCAGCAGCCUGAGAUUUCCAACCUGAGUCAGUGGUGAAGGAGCACAUUGUGGCAAUGCUGUGAGGAGAAAAUUGGAUUCCAUUCUUCUGGGUUCAUUCCAAGGGAGACACGGAAAUCCUCUCAGAGGGAAUGAACCUGAGCCAAUCUGACUAUCAGAACACUUGGGCUUUUCAGUAGAGGCAAGUGAAGCUCUGAGUCCCAGAAGGAGAGCUCAUGUCCAGUGCAGCACCCCCUAAAAAUAUAAAUUUGGUAUUGGCUAGCAACAUCUUGCCAGGACUUGUUUAUAUUUCUAGACUUCUGUGAAUGUUA